rnacentral:tRNA from 1 species
GAUCCCAUGGCGUAGUGAUGGUCACUGCGCUCGCCUUGCACGCGGGAGACCCGGGUACGAUUCCCGGCGGGGUCA